rnacentral:tRNA from 1 species
GGGGAUGUAACUCAAUGGUAGAGUGUGUGUUUAGCAGUUGGGAGGACCUAGGAUCAAACCCUAGCACCCUCC